CAGAGGGGGCAAGCGUUGUUCGGAAUUACUGGGCGUAAAGGGCGCGUAGGCGGCCUUCUAAGUCGAACGUGAAAUCCCUGGGCUCAACCCAGGAACUGCGUCCGAUACUGGGAGGCUUGAAUCCGGGAGAGGGAUGCGGAAUUCCAGGUGUAGCGGUGAAAUGCGUAGAUAUCUGGAGGAACACCGGUGGCGAAGGCGGCAUCCUGGACCGGUAUUGACGCUGAGGCGCGAAAGCCAGGGGAGCAAACGGGAUUAGAUACCCCGGUAGUCCUGGCCCUAAACGAUGAAUGCUUGGUGUGGCGGGUAUCGAUCCCUGCCGUGCCGAAGCUAACGCAUUAAGCAUUCCGCCUGGGGAGUACGGUCGCAAGGCUG
rnacentral:rRNA from 1 species